GAAAAUUUUAUCAUAAAUAAAGAAAUAUUUUUCUAACAUUAUCCCAAUGAAUUGGUCUAGAUCCAUAAAUAAAUACAAACAAAUAAUAACAAAUCCUUCAUUAACAUUUGAAUUCCAAACUAGUACAUUAAAACUUUUGGUUUAUAACUACGUUAUUGUUUUAUUAAUAGCUAAUCAAGAUGUUGCUUGGAAUUAUCCAUUUAGAGACUCUGAUUUAGCUAGUCGUUUAGGACAUGAACUGAUCGAGCCCAUGGUUUUAACCAAGUUUGGUUUUUGUUUUCGUCUUUUAACUAUUGUAAUGAACACUUUAGCGGUAGCUACAUUGUUACAGCCUAAACGAGAAAAACGCAACUUUCUUUUACCCUGUAUUUUGUGGAACUUUUAUACGAUUACGGCUGUGGCUGAGAAUAUUUUUGAAAUUAUUUGGUGUAUGUUUCAGUUGGAUGUGGCAUUUCUGCAAUUUGCUACCAUUUUUAUUGUGGGUAUAUUUAUGUUGGCAUUUCAGUCGAAAUUAACCAUACAAAUUAUACGAUUUUAUGAAUAUUUAAAUUAUAAAAAAUAGUAAUAAAUAAAUGUAAAUAAAUUGUAUUAAUACUUACUA